CCUACGGGAGGCAGCAGUGGGGAAUAUUGGGCAAUGGACGCAAGUCUGACCCAGCAACGCCGCGUGAAGGAAGAAGGUUUUCGGGUUGUAAACUUCUUUUAAUGGGGAAGAUUAUAACAGUGUAUCCCUUGUAUAAGCCACGGCUCACUACGUGCCAGUAGGCGCGGUAAUACGUAGGUGGCACGUGUUUUCCGGAAUUACUGGGUGGAAAGGGCGUGCAGGCGGGAAGACAAGUCAGAUGUGAAACCCUGCAGCUCAACCGCGGAACUGCAUUUGAAACUGUUACUCUUGAGUAUGGGAGAGGUAGUCGGAAUUCCUGGUGUAGCGGUAAAAUCCGUAGAGAUUAAGAGGAACACCCAUGGCGAAGGCGAAUUGCUGGACCACGACUGACGGUGAGGCACGAAAGCGUGGGGAGCAAACAGGAUUAGAUACCCGAGUAGUC
rnacentral:rRNA from 1 species